GAUGAACGCUGGCGGCGUGCCUAAUACAUGCAAGUAGAACGCUGAAGGAGGAGCUUGCUCUUCUGGAUGAGUUGCGAACGGGUGAGUAACGCGUAGGUAACCUGCCUGGUAGCGGGGGAUAACUAUUGGAAACGAUAGCUAAUACCGCAUAACAGUAGAUAUUGCAUGAUAUCUGCUUGAAAGGGGCAAUUGCUCCACUACCAGAUGGACCUGCGUUGUAUUAGCUAGUUGGCGAGGUAACGGCUCACCAAGGCGACGAUACAUAGCCGACCUGAGAGGGUGAUCGGCCACACUGGGACUGAGACACGGCCCAGACUCCUACGGGAGGCAGCAGUAGGGAAUCUUCGGCAAUGGACGGAAGUCUGACCGAGCAACGCCGCGUGAGUGAAGAAGGUUUUCGGAUCGUAAAGCUCUGUUGUAAGAGAAGAACGAGUGUGAGAGUGGAAAGUUCGCACUGUGACGGUAUCUUACCAGAAAGGGACGGCUAACUACGUGC
rnacentral:rRNA from 1 species